UCCAAAUUAAACAAUUUAAUUGGAUUGUAAAAUCAAUAUCUGGUCAAUUAUAUCAAAAUGAAUAAUUGCAAAAAUCAUUAGUGUGUUAUACAAACAAAUGAAACUUAUUCUGACUUUUGAGACUGAGUAUUUAGAUGUGUGUUGUUGGUCAUUUUGGGUAAUAAAAACAUAACUGAGGUUAUGAAUGACAUCUUUUGGCAGACACGGACAUAUUUAUGAUUGAAUUCUCAUAUGGUGAUAAGACAAUUGAUUGACGGACAAGACCAGUAAGAGAACUGGCAGAACAAUAGGCAAGGCCUAAAGAAUUAAUCUACGAAACUGAUAGCACGUUUCUUGAUUAAAGAGGCGGACUGCAGAAGUAAAUUAAAUAGUUAACUAUUUAAGAGAUUUUGACUGCAGGGUCGCACCGGGUUUUUCAUACAAGUUUCCCGAACAAAAACAAAUAGUCUAUACUCUAAGUGAGUGCUGGACCCUUUAAGAACAACCUGCAGGACAGUCUGGGUUGUAACGAUACUCUAAACAAGUUCUGAACCUUUUAAGGACAACCUGCAGGACGGUCUGGGUCGUAACCUUACUCUAAAAAGAGCCUCUUGAUUAUUUAGAGACAGACUGCAACAAGGCGAAAACAUACUAAAUAGGUCAAGUUAUUUGACUAUUAAGUUGAUUUCGUCCGCAGGGCUGUACACGGGUUUUCACGCAAGUUUCCCGAACAAAUAACCUCGCGGUGUGGUGACGAUCACAUCGAACAAAGACAUAGUAUACUAUAAAGUCCAAGAAUCAAUUAUGGGAAACGAAAUUUCCCGUUCCAGUGAUGUAACUGGACCCAUAGUGGAUGAAAUGACUCAUAAACAUGGACCGGAUUGUUUGCGGUGUCUAUCUUAUUGGUCUAAAAGCUUUGGCUUUCCGCCAAAUGGUUCCCUGAGUGUAGCGAAGCUCAGGAUGCUAAAAUUAGAUCUACAGACAGAGGAGAAAAAAUUGAAGGGGAAGAAAACAAUUAAAACAGAGGUCUUAGAGCAAAUUGAGGAUAUUAAGGCAUGUUUUAAUGUGUGGAUGAAAGAAGCUGAUAACAGAGAGAGAAAACAGUUGCAGAAACAGAUGACACUUCUGAGCAUGACUGAUACUAACAAAAAAGAGAAAAAAGAAAAAGAGAAAAAAGAAAAAGAUAUGAACAAUGUCACUGACACAUUUUCUCCUCUCUAUCCGAGUUUGAAAAUCGUGGACCCCCGCCACACGGAAGAGGAAGAGAGCAGCCACGGUACCAACGACCCGACAGACGAGAGGCGAUCGGGCACGGGAACAGCUCAUCUCACUCCUCCGCCGCACUGAAGCAGCUGCGACCGCUGGAUUGCCAGUAUUCCAAGGCCUCACAGAGGAAACUGAUGAGGACGGAGAUGAAGCUGAUGCAUUUCCCAUGAUUCAAGUCCCUACACAAGGAGGGGGAAUAGGCCUGGUGUAUAGGGCCUGGACUGAAUUAGACAUUAGACAAGCGACAAGCCACCUUCCCCCGUGCAAAAACUCUGGUGCACAAUUUACCAUAGCCCUUCAGGCAUUCAUUGAGACUUUUCUGCCCAGUGUUCCAGAAAUACGACAUCUUCUGAUGGUAAACCUGGGGCCUAUGGAGUAUGCAAAGAUCCGACACCUUCUCCCCGAAGACCCAACCAAUGAUCCAGUCAUUCUCCAUCCAAAUCUCGCAAAUAGAGCAAAUGAUGGCUACAAUGACCUGCUGGAUGAUCUCUCCACCGGACUAGAGACCGUGUUUCCAGACAGAAUCGACAUGACACGUGUGACAAACACCAAGCAGUAUAAAGGCGAGACGGUGGAGGACUUCCAGUACCGGCUUUCUGAGACUUUUGAUAGACACAGCGGCAUCGCUCGCACCACUGCCGCCGGAGCAGUGGUUGAACUUUGGGAAGCUCAUUUCAAAAACGUGUUUUUGAGUGGGCUGCUCCCUGACAUACGAGCUGAAGUGGACAAAACCUGCAUUGGACUGCCCGAUUCAGCCCUGAUGGAGAUUGUUAGACAUGCUAGACAUGCUGAGAAAAUCCUGACCAGCACAAGAGACAAGACGGAGAAGAAAAGACAACAAAACAGUGAUGCUGCACAGUUAACCCUCAUAAAAACUGUGGCAGCAAUGUCUCAAGAAAGAAGGAAUGCGGGCAGAGGAAAAGGCAGAGGCAGAGGCAGAGGAAAAGGCAGAGGAAGCAGAGGCAGGGGCCGUGGCAACACACCGAUAGUGGACAAAGACACUUGCUACAACUGUGGCGAGAAAGAGCAUUGGGCCUACGAAUGUCCCCACCCCAAGAAGGACUCGUCUAAGGGACAGCGCAACGACCCUCAGCAGUUUGCAGAUUGACAGGCGGUGGGGGAUGGAAAGACGGGUGGAAUGGACGGACUGGAUGACACGAGUGCGCCUGUUAAGGAGGGUAACAUGCACACACACACAGAUACACAUGCUUGCAAUGAAGACAUGCUUUCCUGCAUACCACAAACAUCUACACCACCCCCAAACAAUAAGCAAAACAUACUAGAUGCAAUACAGCAUAUAGAACAGAAGGAAUUAGCAGAGAAAAUGCCUACUUAUGCUAUGUAUUCAUCAGAUGUGUAUAAAAAAUUGCCUACAACAGUGUUGACAAUACAGGGGAGGGAAAUAGAAUUCUUGGUUGAUUCAGGGGCUACAAAUUCGGUUUUGAAAAAAUCAUUGUUUCCAAAACAAAAACUUUCUGGUAGGGUAAUUCUUUCUAGAAGUGCAAGUGGUAUGAUAAUGCCAGAGAAAUUUACCGUUCCAAUGACUUGUGUGCACACAGAUUCUACAGAUCCAGACCCAGAGAGAAGAGCAAAAUGUUCAUUUUUGCUCUCACCUGUGUGCCCGGCUGCUGAGCUCAUUGCCCUCACGGAAGCAUGGAAGUUGGCUGAUGGCUCAUCUGUUACCAUCUUCACGGACUCAAGAAAACAGGUUUCAGCGGGUCUGCCUAAACCAGCUGAGGGACCACUGCAUAAGCUCCGGCCUGGGGACUUUGUUGUGAUCAAAAGCUUCAGGAGGAAGAACUGGCAGUCCAGACGGUGGGAAGGACCCUUCCAGAUCCUCCUGGUCACUCACACAGCAGUCAAGGUCGCGGAACGAUCCACGUGGGUGCACGCAACACACUGCAAACAGGUUCCGGACCCAGGAGAGGUGCCAGGUUCGCUAACACCUGCAACAAGUGACGAGCAGGUUCCCUGCUGAGUCACCUACGAGGGAAAUCGAUUCAGAGACCAGCUUGACAGACGGCGUUCUGUGCUAUCUCUGAAAUCAAUCGGGGGAAAACUGGAGUUUUUCUCACUGAUUUGCAAACACACUGAAGGAGGAGAGAAAGUGUGACCAACAUACUGGUAUUGUACCUUUUUGAACACAGCACAUUCCUGAAAAA